AAGGUCAGGUGUAUAUGCAUUGAUGCAACCCUGAAAUAAGGUAGGCUGAAGUUAAUAUCUUUCUUGGAUAUUAGAGUCGCUGACCAGAAGGUCUGCAGGGUGUUUAUUAUGUUGAUGUAAGGAAUUAGGUCAGCUGUGUGUAUUGUAUCCUAUAAAUACAACCUCAUGCAUGUACGUUAAAUAGACGCAAGUAGCUUGUUGUAACAAGAUAGAAAAAGGGAGCAGAAGCUCUGUGUUUGUGAAACAAAAAAAGGCUGUAGCCUAAGUACUCUGUGUAAGGCAAAAUUCAGCCAUAACCUUAUUUCACAUAUAUAUAAUAGUGUGCUUGUGUUUAGAUUUCUGUUUUUAUUUCCCACCAUACAGUAAACAUAUAAAGCCUAUUCACGUUUCCAACAUCGCUAGUUUUUGUUCUCCCUUCUCAGAUCUAGGCAGCCAUUGAUAUAUGAAUGGAACAGUUAAAUAUGUUGCAUUUCAUGUGCUUUCACCCGAGGGUGACCGGGGUCUUACAAUAUUCGAAGUUGCAGACAAGAUUCAAAUCUGACAACAAGCAUGACACCAGAAGCCUCAAUUGCUGCUGCCUUUUCAAGGGUUCCAAGCUUUUUGAGAGGACAGCUACAUCAACUUGUUACAAGAAUGGAAUCUUAGGUGGAGAAGUUGAGGAUUUUGAUAAAGAUGAAGCAGACAGCAGAGAUGGAGACUGAAGAGACAAUGACGUAUAUGCUCCAAGACGGAUCAAGACCCUCCUCAGAUGAACCUUCUAGUUUAAGUUAAGUAAUAUUUGCCCUAUAUAUAUAUCUCUUGUACUAGCUAGCAAUUAAAAUAUUAAAAUUUAUUAUCAUGUCAGUGUUUGAUAUGUUUUACGGCCUCUUUAUUUUAAAAACUAUUUUGAAGGACGUGUUAUAUAUAUGAUUACUAAAACGUAUUUAUACAUUCGAUUUCAAUUAUACACCUCUCAUUAAGAUACCCCCUCUCCAGGCAGAAAACCUCUCAUUGAGUCAUCAAGUAAUCUAUCUAAACCACUAAAUUUGCCAUAAUCUUUAGUUGUUAACAAUAGAUGAACCCUCAAAACAUUCUAGCUAGGAGUGAGCAGGAAUUCCAAUCCCCCGGUCUGAAUUCAAGAUGAUGUUUAUCAUAAAAUUCAAUACAUUGGAGGGAAAAGCUUGAAAGAAAACAACAAGGCUUCAAACAAGGAACUUGAAGUCAUUUUUGAAGUAUUACUACAAAAUGUAUGUGUGUAUAAUAAGUUAAAAAUCGACUUAAUGAGUCAAAAACCGACUUCAUGUUAUAAAUAUAAGCAAAAAACGACUUCAUGUCACAAGUUGUUUUGAGUCAUGUCCUAGCUUUUAGUUUUUUUUGUUUUGGAGUCUAUCUAUAUAUUGUACUGCUCUCAGAAAUAAAAGACAAGUUUAUUGACAAGCAUAUAUUAUGUGUUCUAUUUCUAUACCUUUUCAGUUUAAUAUUUAAUAGUCAAUACAUUUAUAUCAUAUAAAUUACUAACGAGCUGAUUUGGUAACAGUUCCUAGAGGUUCUCUUGUGCCAAAGAUAUGGAUGAUGAUUGAUAUGAAUAAGAUCAACGGAGAGUCGAUUAGCCUGAGUUAUCAGAUGUUGGCUAGAAGUAAUUAUAUAGCUUUGGCUUUCAAGAUGAUAGUGUUUGUGCUAGCAUAGGGAAUUUGGAGGAUGGUAGAACCGAGUGAUGCAGAUUCACCUGUUGAAUAAAAAAGGGACAAAGUUGCCUUGACCAUGAUUUACUCAUACUUGUUGAUACUGUUGGAUAAGUAAACUAACUCUUGGACUUAGAGGAAGAAUCUGGAACUCUGUUAUAUUCAGUGAAUUUAGGAAUAUGUGAGAACACAAUAAUUAUGAUUCAUAGUACUUGGAAGAUGUAUCUAUUUUGAUUCAUGUAUGAUGUUUUAUAUUCUCCUAUUAUAUAA